UUUCACUUUGCAGCGGGUCAUUCAGCUCUUUGGGCUCACUCACUGCAGGUCAUUUGAACUGUGUGCUGCUGCUUAAAGAUGCGGAUUUUGUUUGUUCACAUGACAUAGAGUAGAGAAGGGCACAUGAGCUAAGAAGAUGAGCUGGAUCAUUCAUAUUUCCAUUGAGGUUAGUACUAUCACGCACAGGGGAAGACCACAGCACUGCAAUCAGGCAACGCAGACAGAACACCACAAACUGCUUCAAAGACGUUUCAACAUGGAAGCAAGAGGUCCUAGACGCAGCCCUCAAAUUCUACUUUCUGAUGAUGACAGUGGUCUGUGGAUGAAGAUGGAUUCAAACCAUGUGAGCAACCACACAGAGAAUUUUUCAGCGACCUCUGAAGACAAAAUCACAACGAUCUCUGCUGCUCCCACUGCUAUAAUGAGGUACUACAGUGUGAUGGAUGAUGAAGGUGCAGAUGAUGUCUUCAUCCCUCAACCACCUCCUCCACCUCGCACGGCUACAUCGCUGCCAGCAGAGAAAAGCACAGGUGCAACAGCAAGUAAGUCUGGUGUGACCCUUUCAGUUGACGCAACAGAGGCUGAAGCUAAUCCAAGAGGCUUAGACUUGUCUCAUAGUGAGGAGCAGUUAAUGGUAGCACGAAACGAGCUGGAUGAAGAGGUGACUGCAAGUGCAGUGCAGUUGUCUAUGGCCAACAUAUCCAAUGAACAAGACUCCUCUCCACCAACUUAUCAAGAACAACAAUCCAUGGAUGUGACUGGUUGUCUGAUGGAAACUGGUUAUGAUACAGAUCGAAGACCUUACGGGAAUAACGCAACAGAGAAUGACAAACCAGAGGACAUUGUAAUUAUAAGUGAAGAACAGGGAAACUGCUGGGAAGCCAAUACGGAGGAAGACAGUUACCCAAAACAAACACAUUCAAACCACAGAGAAGACUCUGAGAAUCAGAUCCAUUUAGACAAAGACGGAGACAAAAUAAAACACAAGGACAUUGGUGAUUUUGAUGAAACAGACUUAAAACUAUUAAGAGAAAGUAUAGCUAUCGAGAGUGUGGAGGCAAAUUCCGAUGAUGAUUUCAAGCUCUGUAAAUGCAACCAAAACAGGACCGAUACAGCAACCAGUCAGGCACAGGCUGCUGACUUCCAAACAGAUACGGACAAAGACAAUGAAGAGCAUGAUGACCGUACAUCUUUGGAUUAUAACCUCAUAAAGUGCGACUGUGUGAGGAAAGAAAGCGGCAGCACAGAAAUGCAAGUGCUAUCCAGCUCCAAAGGUUCUGAAGAAAGAGAGACAAUGGGGGAGCAAGAGGAUGGAAGCAGGAAAAUAUCUACUGAUAUCCAACAAGGUGAGCAACUGCUUCAUCGUCUGCAGCUGGUACAGCUACGACAUGAUGUGAAAAUGUCAGAGAACGCUGAUACCCAACAGCAGGCUGUCAUGAUGGAUGAAAAAAAGGGCAUGUUUGGGACUGAAACAGAGAAUAUACCUAGUGAAGAAGAGAGGGAAGAAGGCAGAUUCGAAACUCUUAAGGAAGAUGAAGAAAAGGUGAGCCUGAUGGAAAAGGAAAAUAAUGAGGACAAAGACAUUCAAACAAGAGCAAGGACAUCUUCAUCCACAAUUCCAGGAGAGUCAGAAGAAGACCAGAGGGUUGUCAGAAUAGAUCCGAGUGACUCUAAUGACAAUCAGAGUGAUAGCUGGGAGCCUACAGAUUUGACUCCCAGUAAUCCUCAUGAAACUUCUAAUGAAAUUCCAUUUCUUUCCACUGGACACCGAUUUUCAGCUGCUGAAACCUACAUGGAGAGGCAGCUCCAUGAGGCAGCCCAGGGGAAGCAGAAGCUGCAGAGAGCUGGAGGUGUUUUCAAUCUUGCAGAAAAUCCAGAUGUGCUGGAGAUUCCCUUUAAAACAGAUAUCUCUCUUGAGUCACUCACUACCAAGGUAGGUACAAGCCAAUGCAACGAGUGGCAAUUCUCUGAACAGAAGAUGCUCAAAGAGAUAAGUCAGGAUAUUCAGAGAGAACUAGUGCUGGUCAAUCAAGGUAAAAUCCCAGGGGGGUACAGCAAAGGAGAGAUCCGCCAGUUAAAAGAGACAAAACUGCUGUUUGAAGCCUUCCAGCAGGACAAUCCGGAGGGUCCAACAAGACACCGUAAAUCCCCCACAACUCUGAGGAAAGGUCACAUUUACCCUUCAGUGCUAGAGCGCACACGUAGCCUUGAGAUGUUUUCCCUCAAAACUUGUCCUGUUUCCAGAGCACAUUCCCUCAGGCUGUACCAAUCUGCAAAUCUUGAGAAGGAAAAAAGUCCUGACAGCAUCAGAUCAAAGAGCCCAACUGGAGGGUCACGAGACAAAACUCGCUUAUCCCCUUACCCAAAACAAGACAAAAACAUUCGCCUGUACAGAAGCAUGGACUCUAUAAGCAAUGACUUCUCUACGUUAGCUGUGGAGGGUAAAGCAAAGGCAGCAAAUGCAAACAAAGAGUCUUCAAUCCUCAAGCAAAACCCAUUCUUCAAAUUGCGCCCAGCCCUGGCUCUACAACCAGAGGUAGAGAAGGACAUCCGAGAAGCCAAAGAAAGAGAAGAGGAGCUGCGCAAGCAGAGACGCAGUCUGUAUGGAGAGAAGAGACAGAAUAGUGAAGAUGAACAAAAGUCACAAACACUCCCAACAGGUUAGUAUGCACCUGUUUAACAUCAGUUUUAUACUACUUAGCAAAGUUCUUAACCUCCUAAGACCUGAACUUUCAUGGCAUGCAUUUUUAAUUUCUUUAUGCUAUUUGGGCUGAUUGGGACCUGAUAAUUGUAAAAACAAAGAAUUACCAUAUUUUCUUUUACCUGAUUUUUGUUUCUGAGAAAAAUGACAUUCACAUAUGAGGACAUUUGUUUUAAAUUUCGAUAGAAUAGUGGCAGUAUAAUGUCCUCGUAAGUGGAUAUCAGGCCCUUGUAGAGCAAAAUUUUGUAUUUUAGUCUAGACAUAUAUGGACGCCAAGUCCUAGGAGGUUAAGGACAGCUUUUUAUACUAUUUACUGAGGAACAUUACUAUAUAAUAUAAUUUUGGCAUGAUUUGACUUUUACUCGACUAAAGAAUACUCCAAAGUUUUCACAGAAAAAUAUACUUUUUACUUGACUACAACUAUUUGACAUGUGAGUGCCUUCCAUCAGUGAUAAGCAAUUGCAUGAGCUCUAACCUAAUUUGCUCAUUUAGCUAAACAUUGCUGACAAUGUGAAGCAUAAGAUCUCUAAAAUCCCAUCAAGGGAAAACAAGAGCCAAUUCGGUCUUUAUUCAUCCCACAUGCCUUUUGACACUUAGUCUGAACACUUUAAUGAAUGCUUCUCAACAUUAGCAUCACAUAGUUUUAUCCCAGACAUGUUAUCAACAACUCACUGUCAUUCCUGUCACUGAUGGUUAAGGACACAUCAUGCUGUCAGCUGUCUAAUCUAAACGUUGGCUGAGGGAGAACAUGAAUGGCACUACCUGGAAAAUUCUAGUUUGGUUAUAGCCUGGUGCAAAUAAAAAUCAGUUCAGCCCGCUGAAAUACCUAUUUGAAAGAACUAUAUGAAGUGUAGCUUGUGUGCAUUUUUUUCUCCUGUUGCAUGAGAACUCAGAAAUCAAGGGAGUGUGUCAAUAAGUAUCACCAUGUUAGAAUUUAGUCAUCAGCAGCUGUUGUUGAAGAUUGAGUUGAUUCCAGGUCAUGCUGACAAAGCUACAAAUGUCAGUAAUAUGUGGAAGCAAGAAAGAGUCAUUCCUAAGGUCAAAGAAGCUGUUUUGUGUUACCCUAAACAUUUACAAGAGGAAACUUUGUACUUGUUUAACCCAGAUACACUGAUAAAGCCCGACAAGCAAAAAAUUUCACGCUGAAAAUAUUAACGUGAUUUGAAAAAUAAUACAAAAUAAGCCUAGAAUCCUUUACGUGCAUAUCAAAAACAAAGGUUUGUGAAACAUUUUUGAAAGAAUCUGUCGUUCUAAAGUGCUCACUUCCCUCCUAGAUAUGUAAGUGGUAUCAUUGCAAUGUACAAGCGUCCAGCUGAAUUUGUGAUUGCUAUACAUAUAGUAUGCUAAAUGAAUGACACCGAAGUUGCGUGUGUCUGGGAAAGCAUUGGUAUCUUUGCUAUUUGCUGAGCCAUUUAGAAGGCAUGGAAAUAAAGAAGCUCAAUUACUUACUGUCAUUACAAUAGAACUGUGUAGAUUCUCAGAACUACCCUAAAACUUCUAAAAUCAGUCUAAGCAGUAGAGAGCUGCUAAUCUUACCAAAUAUAGUAGCUUAGCUACUGAGCUACUUAGUUGUUCUUUUUCUCUUUCUGUCCUACAGACAGCAGGAAACAGUCACGGGGGAAACUGGAGCGGGUUUGGCCACCUCCUUCUAAAAAGGACCAGAUAAAACUGGAGCAGAUAGAGGUGAUUCACCUGCAACAAGCCUUAAUUCUACAUUUACUGUUUUCUUCAUUGUUCUGUAAAACUAUUGGAUGUAUUGCUAAACACUGGCAAGAACAGAGGAUUAUAAAAAGGUCCUGUUUUGUGUAUUGCACUGAAUUCCAUACAGAAGCAUUGAAAAGAGUUGCUACAGAGCUCAGAAUUUCAAAUUUUGUAAUACUAAACAAAUACUAAACAAAUAAAAGAAAAACAUUAAGUUUAAAGUAUCCUCUUUGUUGUAGAAAUGCUUGGAUAAGUAUAAUUGAUUGUGAAUUGAGAAAGCAGGAGCUAAUCUCUCACUCUAAAUCCAGGUUGUUUUUGUUUUUCUUCGUCUUAUCUCACAGCAGGAGCCAAAAGUUCACCGAGCAGGAGGACAGAAAGCUUCUCUCUGGCAACGCUGGGAGUCCGGCCUGAUCAAUGGGAAGCCGUCAAAAGAAAAGAAGUGAUGUUAUAUGUCCUGGUUCUUGAACACUACAAACAGAAUAUCAGGGACUAGACCAGCACUAGACUUAUAGUCAAAAUAACCCAAAUUGUUAUGCUAGUCCCAGCUUCAAUACUUCCUCGCUCUUUUAACUCUGCUUUGUAUCUGUGACAAAUAUGCUUUUUUGUAUCUUUAUUAUUAUUUUAAAAAAAAAAUAACAAUACCAGUCCAUAGAUUAUGUUAGGAAAAACUCUUGGACCAAAACAGCCACUGUUCCAGCUGGUCCAGGAAAUGACUUUGUUAGAAUGCUGGCUAGCAUUAGCAGCUACUUCCUGAGAACCCUGGCUAGCAUUAGCAGCAGCUUCCUGCUCUGUCAGAUUUAGAAAGGUUUACACUUUCAGUUGACAGUUCAACAAAAGAAGGGUCCAAUCUUAUGGAACAACAUGGUUUAUACUUUUUUAAAAAUAAAUAAAUAUUGUACCAUAAACACAACUGUCAGUUAUGUAGACAACACUAUAAAACUAUUUAAGCUAGCCUACUUGUAUGGGGGAAAAAAACUCACAAAAUAUCCUUUGUGAAUGUAGCAUGCCUAAAUCUUCAAGGGUUAACUUAGCAAGAACAAGCAAUAUGAAUAAGAAUUAAAUGAUGGGAUGUAUGGGAUAUAUUCUUGACAAUAUUAAUAAAAGACCAAGCUGCUUCACACUUUUUUUUAGCUUUGGUGAGCCUCUUGGUUUAUGAAAGUCUAUUUCCAAAAUGCCUCUAAGCAGGUUUCAUAGGUUGGAUGCACUGGUUCUGGCUGCUCCAGUCACUGUACAAUGUCUGAAGGGACUCUUUACUAAGCCACUCUUACUCUUGGAUUUACUCUGAGGCCACACAGAGGAGAUUACACUGAUCACAGCUGCUUUUUUCUGUAUAGCUUGAUGUAUCAUUUGUGGGUUUUGUUGCAUAUUUUCUAACAAGCCUAAAGAUCAUCCAAAGACCAGAAAAUCCUAAAUGGAGAAUAAUGAUUAUUUAAAAUAAAUUUACACCACUUAAUCCAUUGAACUGGAAUGUUUUGAUGCCCUCUAGAGGUUGUUUCAUCUUGGAGUUGAUUCCAAAUUCAAGCUGGUUAAAUAGAAUUAAAGAGAAUAGAAUCAAAGAAGAUAAACUUAACAAAGGCUUUAUUGAUUGGCCUGCAGUCACGUUUACAAGGGAGCACCUGGUUUCUAAUCUCUACAGAGACAGAAGUACACAGCUUAGCCUGUCUAAGUACCAUCUGCCACCCCCACUGAGUCUGCCAAAAGAGGAAAGACUUUCACUCUGCCCUUCCUGGCUUGGAUAUCCCAGUGUUAAUUGGCUACCACUGUCAUCAUCCUAUGAGCAAUAAGCAGUGCCAAGGCCAAGGUAUCAGUGGUUUGCAUUUUAACAUAGAUACAUUAAACAUCUAUAACAUCCAAAAAUGUUGGCCUUUGAAAGUGUUUACACAUGCAUGAAGCCCGCCUUUAUCUGGUUGGGUCUGGAUCUGUAAGAGCGAGUGGCUGUACUUGUUUGUCAAUGGCACCAUUUGACACAAAUAUUUAGGACACUUCUCAAACUGAAACCUUUUGCUUUAUGCAGUAUUUAAAUGUACUUAUUAGUAAUUACACAUUUUCCUUUUCCAAGACCUCUGGGUGUGCUCACAUGUAGCGCAUGUCCUGGGAAUAAAUUGCAAUGUUUGGGUGUGAUGUAUGGAAAUAUGGGGACAUUUUGAGUUGUUAGUCUGUUUUUGAGCUUAUGUUAGACGUGAUGUCUAAUGUAAAAAAAAUAAAAUAAAAUACACUCAUCUGCCAAUCCAUUAGGUACCUAUUUUACAGCUUGUUAACACAAAUAUAUAAUCAGCCAAAUACAUGACAGAAACUCC
ensembl:lncRNA